rnacentral:rRNA from 1 species
UACGGAGGGUGCAAGCGUUAUCCGGAUUCACUGGGUUUAAAGGGCGUGUAGGCGGGCUAUUAAGUCAGUGGUGAAAUCUCCGGGCUCAACCCGGAAACUGCCAUUGAUACUAUUAGUCUUGAAUUCUGUUGAGGUAGGCGGAAUAUAUCAUGUAGCGGUGAAAUGCUUAGAUAUGAUAUAGAACACCGAUUGCGAAGGCAGCUUACUAAACAGAUAUUGACGCUGAGGCACGAAAGCGUGGGGAUCAAACAGG